UGACUCUAUGGGUAAAUCAGUUAAUCCCUGGCUUGGGGGGAAGGAUGAGUCAUAAGGUCACCUGGUGUCCCAUGAUCCUGUGUUGUUUGUUGAGACCCAGAAGCUCCCAGUGGUUCUCAAGGAUCUCAUGUAGCCGAGGCUGGCCUCAAACUCACUAAGAAGCAGAGGAUGAGCUUGAAUUCUUGCUCCUUCCGUCUUGAAGUCCUGAGCACUGGGAUUGCAGGAGCACCCCAGACUCCAGCACAGCCGUGGUUAUUUCUCUGAUAUUCCUGCAGUGGCUUACUCCCACUGAGAUAAGAUCUGCAGCGCUGGGGAUGGAUGCAGCCACUGGUAUAGAACACUUGGUGAGCACACAGGAGGCCCUGA